rnacentral:rRNA from 1 species
GUGGGGAAUUUUGGACAAUGGGGGCAACCCUGAUCCAGCCAUGCCGCGUGCGGGAAGAAGGCCUUCGGGUUGUAAACCGCUUUUAGCCGGGACGAAAGCUGUACGGAUAACACCCGUGCAGGUUGACGGUACCGGCGGAAUAAGCACCGGCUAACUACGUGCCAGCAGCCGCGGUAAUACGUAGGGUGCGAGCGUUAAUCGGAAUUACUGGGCGUAAAGCGUGCGCAGGCGGUUCGUUGUGUCGGCGGUGAAAGCCCCGGGCUCAACCUGGGAAUGGCCGUUGAAACUGGCGAACUGGAGUGUGGCAGAGGGGGGUGGAAUUCCGCGUGUAGCAGUGAAAUGCGUAGAGAUGCGGAGGAACACCGAUGGCGAAGGCAGCCCCCUGGGCUGACACUGACGCUCAGGCACGAAAGCGUGGGGAGCAAACAGGAUUAGAAACCCCAGUAGUCC